UAUAAAAUACAGAUUUCAGUG
rnacentral:piRNA from 1 species